UCAAAGAUCACACUUCAGAACAUGAUGUACUUGUGUAGUAAACAACACACAUGUUGGCAUUCUAGGGGCCCCGGUUUAAGGCAAGGCCCUUCUCUAACUGUCACAGUGACGAAAAUUCGCCACAUUUUAUUGGAUCAUUGUGGACCAACUCAUACAAAUGCCAAGCAGCCAACAGAAAAAGCUGCUCAGACAACUGCCAGACACUUCGUACGGGAUAGGAAGGAAGGCUCUGGAUCCACCUCCACAUGGAAGGGGCCUCUCAUUGGUCCAAUGGUGGUUUCUUAGCAAAAUCCUUUGCCACAUCUUGACUCCCAUCAAAAGGUUUAAGCUAAGAUCGCCAUUAAAAUUUCUUAGGACCUCCAGAUGAAGCAUGUUAAUCAAAUGCCAAUAUGGCAGCAGUCAAAAAGAUCAAAAUUCAUUUUAUUACAACUGUGUCUAUCUUGUGUUGACAGAAAUACAGUAAGAGGCCCUAAAGUUUAGGCAAAAUUUCACAAAUGUCUUCAAAUUUUUUUAGAUGAUCAAUUCCCUCCAAUUUACUUAUUUCUAAUUUAAUGAAUGGCCAAUUUGAAUGAUUCUUAUACUGUUAAGGUGAAAUUGCUUAGCUGGUCCCCCGAGGUAAACCAACAUGAUCACACGGGAAGUCUGCAUGUUGUUUCCGAGAGUUCCAGUACCCUGGGAUCGGCCACAUUCUGCUAAAUCACUGACAAACUCCAUCUCAUAUCAGACAUUUUUGCAUUUGCUCCAAUAUGUUUACCUUUCCUUGAGGCGUGACCGGAAGUGCAUUGCGUCAGCAGUAUGGGAGACAUGGAUUUGGAUCCCAUCGGGGUCACCUGACAUUCGUAAACCCAUAAACACAUAAGUAAACACACCCUAAGUGACGUGUGAUCAAAAAUCAUCACAUACUUUGGUGUCUUGUGUGAGAUUUACUACAUAAUUGGAUGGCCAUGUGAUCAUUGUGAUACUAGUCUUAGCUAAUUAAUUAGUUAUGGUACUUUUCUUUCAGAACAACCCUCUGGAUGGGUGUCAAAUGUAACAUUUACUUUUAUAUAAUGAAAUAAAGCACUGACCAUUAGUGAAUAAGUUACAUUUUGUGGCUUUCUGGCCCCGAAAUGAGUCUGAUCAUGUAAUUAUCACAAUGCAUAUUCACUUCCGUAAGUAUUAGUGGCCUCCCUAAGCUGAUAUCAGGCUGUCACUCGAUAGCCCUUUUCUGCAACCUUGUCUUCACUUGAUUCAUUUAUUGUUCUGUUCAGUUGACCCACAUGUGAACUGUGAACAUUUACAACACAUGUGUGCUCUCCUGGGAAGAUAUUUGAAUACUGUGUCAUCCAAUAAAUCAUUAUGUCUCUUCUUACAGGGUGGACAUAAGCAGGGAACAGUGUGGUUGGUUAUUGGUGUGGAAAUAUGGCAGCAAUGUGGUGAUUUACACUAGACAAAUGUCUUUCACCUCUUUACUCAAGUUACGAGUACAUGCUGUCACAGUGUGUGAAAAACAUCCCUUUGGCACAUUAUUCAUUAUAUAUAAUUAAGUGAGCAUAUGUUUGAGUGAAAGCUUCCCAAAGUUGUCCUUCCUUAAGGAAUAGCUGUCCCUUCAUAAAUCUUUUAAGAAUGCAUACAUAUGUUUAACAUCUGACAAAUAUUACACAGUUUGUAUUUUAAGAUUGCAUGUCGCAAACAGCAAGAGAUUGUACCGGGGUAAUAAAUGUUUAGCCUCCAUCAGGAUUAAUAGUCUAGGAGGUGAAACUACUUGAACUGAGCCUCAUGAUGUACUUCCGCUUUGAAAUAAUGUGGCCCGCUAGUUUCCGGUUAUAGAUCAUUUUGAGAUGGUUUAAGGAAUUGACGUGUUUUUGUUCCUUGAACAAUUCCUACUAGUUGUCGAAUCUCAGACUGCAUUCCAAAUGGCAUAAAUCACCCUCCGAAGGGCACUUUGAAGAGAGAACAAUCAUGAUAGUCAUGGUGUAAGAUCGCUUCAGACAGAAUUUCCAAUAAAAAUGACUUAAAAUGUGAGUUCCGAAUGUCCCUUAUUUUUUAGCCCCACACUUUUAGCCUUUCAAAGCUCUCAGAGUGGAUGCUAAAGUCUUCGAAGGGAAUAGGGCAUAGGGGUGAUCACUUUGCACCCUAAAUCAAAACAACAGCGUGGCUGGAUGCUUCCCGGAUGUCUCGAACUAAUGGAAAUUAAAGUGUUUCGAUUUCCAAUAAAGCAAAGGAAAAUGGAUGCAACUGCUUUGGUGAAUUGAGACAGCUGGAUACAUGUAGUACUAACAACUGUAACACGCAUCUUUUCUCUGUGAGCAUUGGGAGAGUGGCAUAAAAGAGCCACACCGUCAGCAGACCAGAGAGAGAGUCUGGGUUUUGAAGCUCUUCAUGAAGCUACAGUCUUGUCGUUGAGCUAAAAGUAUCGUGAAAGUGUGAAGCUGAUGUGUUGUGGCAACUCUGU